rnacentral:rRNA from 1 species
UGGGGAAUAUUGGACAAUGGGCGCAAGCCUGAUCCAGCAAUACCGCGUGUGUGAAGAAGGCCUUCGGGUUGUAAAGCACUUUUAUCAGGAGCGAAACGCUGUCGGCUAAUACCCGGCGGAACUGACGGUACCUGAGGAAUAAGCACCGGCUAACUUCGUGCCAGCAGCCGCGGUAAUACGAAGGGUGCAAGCGUUAAUCGGAAUUACUGGGCGUAAAGCGUGCGUAGGCGGUUUCUUAAGUCUGCUGUGAAAUCCCCGGGCUCAACCUGGGAAUGGCAGUGGAUACUGGGAGGCUAGAGUGUGUCAGAGGGUGGUGGAAUUCCCGGUGUAGCGGUGAAAUGCGUAGAGAUCGGGAGGAACAUCAGUGGCGAAGGCGGCCACCUGGGACAACACUGACGCUGAGGCACGAAAGCGUGGGGAGCAAACAGGAUUAGAUACCCUGGUAGUCCACGCCCUAAAGCGAUGCGAACUGGAUGUUGGUCUCAACUCGGAGAUCAGUGUCGAAGCUAACGCGUUAAGUUCGCCGCCUGGGGAGUACGGUCGCAAGACUGAAACUCAAAGG